GACGAACGCUGGCGGCGUGCUUAACACAUGCAAGUCGAACGGAAAGGCCCUGCUUUUGUGGGGUGCUCGAGUGGCGAACGGGUGAGUAACACGUGAGUAACCUGCCCUUGACUUUGGGAUAACUUCAGGAAACUGGGGCUAAUACCGGAUAGGAGCUCCUGCUGCAUGGUGGGGGUUGGAAAGUUUCGGCGGUUGGGGAUGGACUCGCGGCUUAUCAGCUUGUUGGUGGGGUAGUGGCUUACCAAGGCUUUGACGGGUAGCCGGCCUGAGAGGGUGACCGGCCACAUUGGGACUGAGAUACGGCCCAGACUCCUACGGGAGGCAGCAGUGGGGAAUAUUGCACAAUGGGCGGAAGCCUGAUGCAGCAACGCCGCGUGCGGGAUGACGGCCUUCGGGUUGUAAACCGCUUUCGCCUGUGACGAAGCGUGAGUGAAGGUAAUGGGGAAAGAAGCACCGGCUAACUACG
rnacentral:rRNA from 1 species